GCUGGGUGUGGUGUCGCACGCCUGUAAUCCCAGCUACUCGGGAGGCUGAGGCAGGAGAAUUUCUUGAACCCAGGAGGCAGAGUCUACAGUGAGCCAAGAUCGUGCCAUUGCACUCCAGCCUGGGUGACAAAGCGAGAUUCUGUCUCAA
ensembl:misc_RNA Metazoa_SRP Metazoan signal recognition particle RNA